GACGAACGCUGGCGGCGUGCUUAACACAUGCAAGUCGAACGGAAAGGCCCUGCUUUUGUGGGGUGCUCGAGUGGCGAACGGGUGAGUAACACGUGAGUAACCUGACCUUGACUUUGGGAUAACUUCAGGAAACUGGGGCUAAUACCGGAUAGGAGCUCCUGCUGCAUGGUGGGGGUUGGAACGUUUCGGCGGUUGGGGAUGGACUCGCGGCUUAUCAGCUUGUUGGUGGGGUAGUGGCUUACCAAGGCUUUGACGGGUAGCCGGCCUGAGAGGGUGACCGGCCACAUUGGGACUGAGAGACGGCCCAGACUCCUACGGGAGGCAGCAGUGGGGAAUAUUGCACAAUGGGCGGGAGCCUGAUGCAGCAACGCCGCGUGCGGGAUGACGGCCUUCGGGUUGUAAACCGCUUUCGCCUGUGACGAAGCGUGAGUGACGGUAAUGGGUAAAGAAGCACCGGCUAACUACGUG
rnacentral:rRNA from 1 species